CCAAGAUGCUGUUAGAGAAAGCGGAGGCAAAAAACUACUAUUGCGAAUAAAUCCAGUUUGCUGAUGGCACCGAUCAACAUUUUAGGAGCAUAUACAAGGACCGGUAGAAUUCACCGAGAGAAAACUCUCGGAGAAACCAAUGUGAACUGCUUGUCGUGGCCAAAUAACGUUGAAUUCAAAAAUAAAAUUUCUAGUGUCGACGUGCUAUCCCGGAGCUAUUCACGCUCAAGGUAUCUGGCUGCAGUCACCUCCGUGUUAAAGAAAUCAUUUCGACUCGAGAUUCAAACCAGGAAACAUCUGUGGGUCUGCGCGUGUUCCACUUCUUGCCUGUAGUCUGCAACAUCAAAAUGGUGAAGGUCUUGUCAUUUUUCCUGCUCAUGGCGGUCUUGUCAAUGACAACCGAGUCCACUCGAACCUGGAAGGAAGGCGACAACGGUUUGGUUCGCUGGGACUUGGAUUGUGCAUUUAAAGGCAGUGAAAUCAUCGCCAAGAAGGACAUCCCUGGCGACCAUUGCGGAAGAUUCUGCUUGGUCAACGACGCGCCCAGCAAAAAGUGCACCCAUUUUACUUACAAGAGUGGAACCUGUUACCUGUAUCACUCCACCAUUAAUUGGCUGGUAGAAAGUGAAUAUCUAAGCGCUUGCGGUUUCAUCCCCGAUCGCACCGCGCAGAAAAUUGACUGAAAAAACGGACGCAAUCGAUAUGAAUUUUGGCAAUGAAGAACCACUACUUGAGAAAAAAAACAAUUACCGUUCCAAAUAUUUCGAUUAAUAGCCGAGGAUAUACUGUAAUAUGUUCGGCAUCACAUUGGUAAAUACAUAUUAUGAGCAAGGUU